UUUUUAAUUAUUAUCACUUUUCACAUAUUAAAUGCAUCAUCUCCAGCAAAAUCCUUCCUGACACCAUCAAGGGGUCAAGAAAGGACAAGAGUAUUCAUUUCCAAUCUGUGCAGGUUGGUUGAAUGAAGAAGCCUUGAAGGGUUGGUAUAGAAUAUCUCACCUGUCAUCACAGGUGAGAUAUCCUACAGGUGAAGUCUCUCCUGAUUGCAGGCGUGAAGCAGCUUGCAAAACCCUGAAUAAUGAAAGUUUCUUUUGUAGCCCCCAAAUGACAGGCUAAGUAACCAAAGAAAGAAAAGAAAUGAAAAUCAACAUUAAUGGGAGAAAAGAAGAACAGGAGUCAUGUCUAAGGAGGAGCAGCAGGGGGCAGCAUUGCCACUCACCAGCGUUUGACUUAAAGGAGCUUCAUGCCAACAAAACAAAGAAUAAACAAUAAAAUAACAACAAGACGUGGAGGAGGUUCAUGUGGUGGAUGGAUCAGACAAACACAGGACCGAAUGCUGACGUGUUAGUAACGUAACGUUACGUAGUGUUGUUAAUUUACACUGGGAGUAAACUUAAGCGUUUUCUUCCCAGACAGAAGCAACGCUGUAAACUGAUGGUGACGUGGCGUUCAAAGUGUUGUGCUUUUUAACCGCCAUCCCAUGUUGGUAGUUUUAUUCAAGCUAGCAGGAUUUAGUUUCCUGUCGCUGUACCUUCCAGGAUCAUUGUGAUCUGUGUGAAUAAAAACUUUAAAACAUCAGCUCAUCUGUGAACGUUUUUGAUGUUUUGGCUCUUUUAGUUACAGUCAGGAACGGCUGUAGUUGAAAUUAUUUUUUCAAUGCUGUCAUUUCAGCAUCCGGCCUCCGUAGCUCGUGGCGGUAAAUCGAUUUUGUGACAGACCGGUAGUUGUGUUUUGUUGCAGUGUCGCCUGCUUAGCAUUUCUAACAUUCAUGACACAUGAAACCUUUUAUUUUUAUUUUCUGUUCACACAGUGUUUUCCCGCCUUACCUCCAGAAGAGAAUUAGCCAUCGGCAGCAGUGUGGGAUCAUAAAAACAAUCAGAUUUAUCAUCAGUUUGUGGAGUUACAGCAGGAGGUGUGGCAGCAGCCUGAGGCGGGGGAGGGGAUGAAGAUUAAUGAAGCAGUAAAUGUCAGUCACUUUUACUAGUGAGGGGUCCGUUCACCCACCACGGCUCAGUUUUGGCUCAGACGAAACCCCCGGUGAUGUUUUACAUGGGGCCAUCAGAGCGCAGAACGCAUCACGCAGCUCUGAUGCCACGCCUCACUCGUAAAACAUUUGAAAUAACCUGUUUAAAACAUCAGUUUGCAUUCCUCCUUUACAGGAAUUCAGCUUAAAGAGGGCUGAGUCACGUAAAGCCUGAGGCUCAGUGAAGCUGCUUCGUACCGUGAAACGCACUGCAGCUGAGCCUCUUAAGAAACGUGGACGACGUUUUGGAAAAUGUUUCUUACAAAGGCUGCUUGUGUGAAGCAGCAGAAAGCUGCCAGAGCCUGAGGAGUCAAAGCCUCCAAAAACGAGGCAGAGAUGAAGUGAUUCAUGCGUGACGGGGACCAGCAGGGGGCAGCAGCGUCACUCUGUCCGGGUUUGACUUGACGGAUCAUCGUCACAUCUGAGAGCUUCAGCACUUUGAUGAAGCAAACAAUCAGGGCAUUGAUGGGGAAAAUGAUCAGCAGUGAGAUUUGGAGCAGAAAGAGCUGCCAGCUCUGCACCGAGUCGCAGAAACUGCACCUGACCUUCUGUUUAAGGUGGUUUCAUCACAUCAGUCAGUUAGGCAGCUGUUUUCUGCAGCGCUGAUUCAUUUAUCUCAGCUUUACGGGACUCGUGUCAGACGCGACCCCUCUCACUUCCUGCGCUCAUUUUACGCUUUUAUGU